rnacentral:rRNA from 1 species
UUAUUCCCGUACCUAUUAUAUGAGUGAUGUGGUAACGCAUCGGGAUGUGUACGAGCUCACUAAGGAUGUGAGUCACAAAUACAAAGCAAAUCUGACGUAAGUCAGUAUGUCUGUGGUAGGCAAAUCCGCCGCGGAAUAAAACGUUGAGUAUUAGAGAAACUGUCAGCAAUGGCAGGAUUCGUAGAGUUCUGGUGCCAAGAAAACCCGCUAAACUUAUCAUAUGAUAGCCUGUACCCAGAACGGACACACGUGGGUUGGUAGAGAAUACCAAGGUACUCGAGACAACUAAUGAUUAAGGAACUUGACAAAUAAGCGGACGUAACUUCGGGAUAAGUCCUGCCCCCUAGUAAUAGGGGGUCGCAGCGAAAGUAAUCGGGGGGACUGUUUACCAAAAACACAGCUUCCUGCUAACACGAAAGUGGAUGUAUAGGAGGUGAUGCCUGUCCAGUGCUAGAAUGUUAAGAACACUUGUGCAAGCUCGUGUUUUAAGCACUAGUCAACGACGGCCGUAACGAUGACGGUCCUAAGGUAGCGAAAUUCCUUGUCGGGUAAGUUCCGACCCGCAUGAAUGGCAUAACCAUCUCGAUAUUGUCUUAAUCUUAGACUCGGUGAAAUUACAUUUCCGGUAAAAAUGCCGGAUAGAUACAGUUAGACGGAAAGACCCUGCGAAGCUUUACUGUAAAUUGGUAUUGUAACGUGGUAUAUGAUGCUCAGCAUAGGUGGGAGACGUUGAUGUGUUGGCUUUGGCUAGCGCGGAGUCAAAAGUGAGAUACCACCCAUUGUAUAUAGCGUUACUAACCCCAUAAAAAUGGGGGACAGUGCCUGUUGGACAGUUUGCCUGGGGCGGGAGCCUCCUAAAGAGUAACGGAGGCGUACAAAGGUUUGCUUAGCACGGAUGGAAACCGUGCUGGACGUAUAUUCGCAGAAGCAAGCUUGACUGUCAGACUAACAGGUCGAACAGGUAGGAAACUAGGUGAAAGUGAUCCGGAUUUUCCAUGUGGAAGGGAAUCCGCUCAACGGAUAAAAGCUACUCCGGGGAUAACAGGCUAAUGGAGUCCAAGAGUCCAUAUCGACGACUCCGUUUGGCACCUCGAUGUCGACUCGUUGCAUCCUGGGGCUGUAGAAGGUCCCAAGGGUUGGGCUGUUCGCCCAUUAAAGCGGGACGCGAGUUGGGUUCAGAACGUCGUGAGACAGUUCGGCCCCUAUCUACUGUAUCCGCAGGUAAUUUGAGUGACGUCGUUCCUAGUACGAGAGGACCGGAAUGAACGAGCCUCUGGUCAACCAGUUGUCACACCAGUGGCACAGCUGGAUAGCUACGCUCGGUAAAGGUAACCGCUGAAAGCAUAUAAGCGGGAAACUAGUCACAAGAUUAGAUUACCCAUCUUGGGGUGGCUCAAGAGUAAGAACCCCUGUAGACUACAGGGUUGAUAGGCAUCAUGUGAAAGCGCAGCAAUGUGUUGAGCAGAGAUGUACUAAUAGUUCGAGGGACAUAUCAUC